rnacentral:lncRNA from 1 species
UCGGGAACACUCAAAUCCAAGCUCUAGCCACAAGUAUGAUCACCUCUAGUGCCAGACCCUACACUUGGAAAAACUGUAGGCAAAGUGGUGUUAGUACAAACAUGCACUAAGUAUGAUAGUCAUGCAUAAAAACACUUGAAACAAGCUAAAAGGGACAUUUCAUUUCAAAGCAUGCAAUUUACCAAGUUUAAACAUCAUCAUCGAGAUAGUUGGAAAACAUAAGUCAAA